UACGUAGGGAGCAAGCGUUGUCCGGAAUCAUUGGGCGUAAAGCGCGCGUAGGCGGCCCUGUAAGUCCGUUGUGAAAGUCAAAGGCUCAACCUUUGAAAGCCGAUGGAUACUGCAGGGCUAGAGUCCGGAAGAGGAGAGUGGAAUUCCGUGGUGUAGCGGUGAAAUGGCGCAGAUAUCGAGGAGAACACCCGUGGCGAAAGCGGCUGCCUCGUGGGAACGGGUACUGACGGCUGAGACGCGAAAGCGUGGGGAGCAAACAGGG
rnacentral:rRNA from 1 species